UUUCCAUUUUGACUACACAAAAAAAUUAAUUUAUUUUCCAUUUUGACUACACAAAAAAUUAAUUUAUUUUCCAUUUUGACUACACAAAAAAAUUAUUGUAACUAUCACAAUGAUAUGCUGAGAUAUUUUUAUUUCCUUUUUGUUUCUAAUAAAAGAGCUUAGUCACUCAAAGAAAACCAAAGUAAAACAAACCAAUUGAAAUGUAAUUAUUUUUGGUCACAUUUACCAAACAUUCGUCUAUGUCCAUGUAAUGAAAGCUUUUUCUGGUUGUAUGUUUUUAGGGAAAGUAAAUUAGUGUGAGAGGCUUGUCUUUAAAACAUUGAUUUGAAUGCCAGUUUGGACAAAGUUUUGCUGUAAUCUUUUUUUUUUUUUCUCUUGUAUUUGUUAUCUCUUUAGGCAACUUUUUGAAGUACACAUCUUAAGAACACCUGGUCAUUGUGCUGGCCACACACUUUCAUCUGGCCAGUGAAGUUAAAAAAGAAACAUUGCUUCCACUCUUUUGAUUCUACUAUUAAUAUUUAUUUAUAUAAAACUAUACACUAUAUAUAUUAAAAAUAACAUUUUUUGUUACAUUCUGCAGGAAGUCGACAAAACUUAAAAAAACAAAACAUCUUCAUGUCUUUUAAAAAUUUGCAAUGAAAGGUCACAAUAACCUUUAACUAUAUAUAUUUUUUUUUAUUUUUUAUUCUAAUCAACUUCAUAAAUUAAUUCUAUUAUGCCCCCACCAUCCCAGCCCCACCUUCCUUGCUUGUUGCAUGCACAGUUUCAAAGGUCUCAUCAUUUUCUUUCUUUUGUCACCACACUUGUGUUUUAAAGUUGACCUUAUGGCCUUUCAACACAUUGACUUGUUGACCAAGUGACCUUUCAGAAAUAAAAGUUUUAAUUAAAUGUAACAAAUACUUUCUUUUGUGUUGUAUUCUUGGUGUUUGAGAGUAUUUACUUAACAGUUUGAUUUUCAUGCAAAGUUAUAAUACUUAGAGUUAGAUAGAAUUUAAAACUUGGAACUUCUGACACUUGUUAAAAUGCAAACUAAAUAGGGACAAAAAU